ensembl:lncRNA
GUAAGUGCUGGGUCGCGGGAUGAGGCGCGGCUGAAGGUUCGCCUUGCUCGUCUCCGCUUAGAGGCCCAGGAGAAGGAGCAGGCAAGACAGUUUGAGCUGGAGGUGAAAAGACUGCAGAUUGAGGCCGACACGGCUGUGAGGCUGCGUAAGCUGGAGCUGGACGCUCAGGCUGCUCGGUCGCUGCCUGCCUCUGAUGGAGCUGCUGGGUCCGCUUCCACCGGUUUGCCGGCCGCCACGUUUGACGUUUGUUUCCCAGAGACGAUGGGUUGAGGAGGAAUUGGAAGUUUGUUGGCUUAGACCUGGUGUCAUUCCAUCAGUGUUAAACUUCCCGGCUCAUCUUGGAAGAGUACGUGCCAGAAAGACCACGACCAAGCAGCCUUGAGAUCUUAGGCAGCGUCUCCCUGAGGUCCCUCUCUAUCUCCCCACACAUCCACCAACCACUGGAACACAUCUCCAAAGUUCUGCUGGACCAGCUCAGCUUCCCCUCAGAAGAAGUGCUGCCACCUGCCAGAUGAAGGAGCCUUUUGAGAGGCAGCUGGCAUCGUGAUUGGACUGUACUUUGGUCUGUUCCAAUCCAGCUUCAGCUCCAGAGACGGCAGGCGGGACGAGUCAACGGAGGCCGGGUGGACGAAGGCAUGCAGCUGAGUACAAUCCAGAAAACAACAAAUAACAAGUCAA